rnacentral:rRNA from 1 species
AGCGAACGCUGGCGGCAGGCUUAACACAUGCAAGUCGAACGGGCAUCUUCGGAUGUCAGUGGCCGACGGGUGAGUACCACGUGGGAACGUACCCUUCGGUUCGGAAUAACUCAGGGAAACUUGAGCUAAUACCGGAUACGCUCUUUUGGGGAAAGGUUUACUGCCGAAGGAUCGGACCGCGUCUGAUUAGCUUGCUGGUGUGGUAACGGCCUACCAAGGCGACGAUCAGUAGCUGGUCUGUGAGGAUGAGCAGCCACACUGGGACUGAGACACGGCCCAGACUCCUACGGGAGGCAGCAGUGGGGAAUAUUGGACAAUGGGCGCAAGCCUGAUCCAGCCAUGCCGCGUGAGUGAUGAAGGCCUUAGGGUUGUAAAGCGCAUUUGUCCGGGACGAUAAUGACGGUACCGGAAGAAUAAGCCCCGGCUAACUUCGUG